rnacentral:lncRNA from 1 species
UUCCCAUAGCGCAAACCAAUUUUAUAUAUAACCAUCUCACAACAAACCCAACAACUAAAGAAAGAGAUUUUCAGAGGUUAAUAUAUACAUUACUUCCUUCUUUUUCAUCAUCUUUCACAUCUCUUAAGUUCAAACCUUAACACAAACAUGGGACUCAGAUCACGUACGCUAGAAAUCACCGUUAUCUCCGGUGAAAACGUCCGCAUAAUGGAGGACGCAUACGUCGUCGUUCGGGCGGAGUCGCUCAACUGCUGCACCACCAGAUCGGCCAAAGACCAUGGCACCAACUUCCUCUCCUGGAACGAGAAGUUCCUGUUGGACGUGCCCAUGCAUGCAAGAUCGAUCACAUUCGAGGUCCAAUGCACCAAAUUUAAGGCUUUUCGCCCUCUUGGGGUGGCCAGAAUCGCUGCCUCCGACUUCCUCGGGGACGCCGCCGUCCCGGAAAAUCAGUUGCAAGAGUGGAGUUACGGGUUGAGGGACUGGGAAGGGAAGAGAAACGGGGUCAUUCACUUCGCCGUGAGACUAGUACCUCCGCCGCCACCAAAGGAGGAGAAAUGUCUGAAGCCCAGCGUGAAAGCGGUGGUGACCAGAAAGGGUUGCGGUUACGGAUUGAAGGCCGGUGACAAGAAGAAGGAAGUUGUAAACCGUGUCCCAUUUUGGUGGAACUACCCUAACAUUGUUUAGAAUUUAAUUUAUUAUAAUUAUUAUUUGUAUAACGGUCAAAUAAUACACAAAUUGUGAGAAAGAUUAUGAAUUUAAAAUCUAGAUUUCUACAUAUGUUAUAUAAAUUUAAUUUUUUGAAAGUUUUGUUCCCUCCCUCGUUACAUACACCAAGAACGCGUGUUAAAUAUGUGUGUAUUUAUUGCAUUUUUCAAAGACUUUGCAUAGAAGUAAAGAUCUUGUUGAUUAUAGUUAUUCGAGGUAAAAUAGGUUGAAGUUCCAGGUGGCGGAAACGUGUGAUUUUGUUGGAUACGUGGGGUCCAUUGUGUGUUCCACGUACUUAACUCUAAUCAUAUGGAUAACAAAGCAUGCAAUUUAAAGAAAGAUUGAUGGAAGAAAGCGCGUUAAGGGUGAGACCAAUUCAAAAUUUUGUGAGCUUUUGACUUGGUAUGUAUUAGAAGAUUAUACUAGAUAAAGUUAUUAUCGUAUACUAGAUAUAUACAUGAAAUCUAUAUUUUGCUAUGAAGAAUUGUUGUUUGGGAGAACACAUUGUCCAUACAAUUUAUGGACUUUUAAAAAAACUCUCUUUGAAUGGUCAGAUCCGUACUAUUGGGGAUGAACCAGUCUCUUGUUCUGGAGGACUUAUUUGUAUUAGUCAUAAAACAGGUUGUAUUGAAUUUGAAUCUAAUAGCGAGAGGUCCUAAUGAUGAAUUUGAAUUUCUUAAUGAAAUUGUUGAGUGUGCCUAGAUAAUAUUUAAAAUUUGUUGUAUAAUUAUCACUACAAAAAAUAAUUAUGGUAGAGUUCCCAAAAGAGCAACGCAAAGAGUAAAAAAUAGAUUAUACAUGGGAUUAGUGUGGUUUAGCGUUCCAAUAGAAAUGAAAGCUAAUGUUUUGGUGGUUAUUCAUUAGAGACAACCUCCAAUAGGAUACAAAUUUACAAGGUAGUGUUAGCUAAACCUACAUAAAGAAAAAUAUAUUAUUUAACUAUAGCGUAGGUUUAGGGGACACUAAAAUGACUAUAAAAUUAAAUAAUUUUAAGAAGUGGACUUUAAGUUUUUUCAUCCACUUAUAUACUAUGAAAUGAUCAUAAUCUCUAGUCGAUGUGAGAUCUCCAACAACACACACCCCUCACGCUGAGACUAUCAACUCAUGCGUGAGACUAUAUAUUAGGAGUGGUCCGAUAACAAACCGAUAGCAGGUGGCCUAAUAAGCCCAAUAAACAAGUGUUAGGAUAGGCUCGAGAUGACUCUAAUACCAUAUUAAGAAGUGGACUUUAAACCUAACUCAACCUCAUAAAACCAACUUAUAAGGUGAGGUUUAUACCCACUUAUAUACUAUGAAAUGUCCUAAUAUAUAGUUGAUGUAGGAUCUCCAACAAUAAUUAAACUUAGUGUCCCCAUUGGGGACACUACGUGAGAAAGCAAAUGUGAGUAAAUUUUCGACAUUAGGGGCACUACCUGUGAAACAAAUAUUAGUGUCGUCUGGACCUACGCUAAAUUUAAUAAAACAUUAACUUGCAUCCACUUUGUGUCCCCAUUUUGGACACAAUAUCAUUCUAUAACUUAUUUUUUUAUUGCAUCUACUUUGUGUUCACAUUCUAGACGCUAACUUAUUAUUAUUAUUUUAAUAAUUUUUAACUUGCAUCAACUUUGUGUCCACAUUCUAGACUCAAUAUUAUUUUAUCACUUAUUUUUUUGUUCAUUGUAUUUACUUUGUGUCCCUUCUCUAAAUGCUAACUUAUUAUUAUUAUUUUAAUAAUUUUUAGUGUGAGUUAAAGGUCUCCUUUGUGGACAUAAUGUUUGACAUUAAUUUUUGUGUUCAACUUGAGUAGACUUCACCCUUGCUAGUGGCUUCCUUUUUAUAAUCAUCACUUUUCGUUGGAAGCUAAAGUGGAUUUUUCUUGUAGUGUAUUGAAGUGUCGGUUGUUUGGCAUUUUUUUUUCAACACUUUAAUAUUCUUUUCUUAAUUCAUUAGUGCUCGGUCAGGAUUGACCUGUAAAAGUUACUCCAACGAUCAAGUAAGUAUUCCGUAUUCAAAGUGUAUAUUAAGAAUUAAUUCAAAGCGUACAUUAUUCUUAUGAUGUGUCGAAUCUAUAAAAUAUCAGUGUUAACUUAUUUAUAGGGAACUAGGGAGGUUCCCUGAUUUCCCGAUACAUUACCCAGAUUUGGUGGAAUGUACCCCUGAUUCUCAAGGAGUCUCUGCAACUGCCUUAACUAUUAUUUAUUGAAGCUGAUUUAAAUGUGUCUCCCACUAGUUGGUUGGUCACCAAGACCGAGUGACAUGGCUCGUCCGCUACCAACAGGUACACUUGCCCCCCCCCUCCCCAAACUCGAUAAACGUUUAUUUCAUAAGAGCUGAGAUUUGACUGUUGGGUAUCCCAAUGUGAGAAGUAACAUGGAUGCAUUAAAUGUUUUCUGCACAACAAUCUCAACCCUAUUUUACUUUAUUGUUAUUGCAAACUUUUAUUGCUUGCAGAUAGAUUCUAAACACUGAUUUACAAAUUUCACUAUUUCAUUCCUUGGGAGAGACCUUGGGGUCAUUAGACCUUAUCUAUAUUAUCAUCUCUUUGGUAUUAGACGGUCUAGCUUUGUGUUAGAUGGUCUAGCUUUGUGUUAGAAGAUCUCCACUAAAAUUAAUUUAAUUUGAUAGAAAAAUAACAACUAUCACUCACAUUCAUAGUCCACGUAGUUUUCUGAAAAAUAUAAGAAACUAUGUUUAGUUUCUUUCUUGUUUUGUGCAGGAGUGCAAAAGGUUUAAGUGUGGAGGUGUGAUAACCCUCGGUUUUCUUAUAUUUUUCUAUAUGUAUCUCCUAGAGGUUUAUUUGAAUCUUAUUUUCUAUCUUUAUAGUAGAUUUGUACUUUUGCAAGAAAUUAGGAUUACUUACAAAAAAGUAAUAAAAACUGUUUUUUACAACUUAAAUUUUGCAUAGAUCAUCUAACAGUUGCUUAGGUCUUUUGUGGGAUAUGCAGAAAAUUAAGUAGCAUCCUAUAAAUUUGAGUAAUACCCUAUAAAUGCGGAUAACACCCUAUAAAUCCGGUAACCAUUAGAUAAAUAAGCUAAUGCUAUUUUAUUGAAGAUACACGUCAGAUAGGCCUGUAAGCGAAGAUAGUCACUAUUAACACUAUAAAUAAGCAUUGUUACACAAGAGUAAGGUACGCUUUUAUGAAUACAUCAUUCACUCUUAUACAGAGCAUUUAUUUGAUCGUUGGAUAACCGUUUGCAAGGUAACUUCCGACCGAGUAUCAGAGAGUGAGCACGAGAAGAGAAAUGACGAGCGACAGAGCACCAAAGAACGAGUACUAGAAGGAAGACAAAGGAGGAAAUGAGAGACAAUUCUUUCAGCCAAUAUCAUGUACUAUCUAAGCCUUAUCAGUUUAUAAAAGUACAUCUGAUUUGAUACUCAUUGAAAAAUUUAUGAGUUUAGUAGUACUAUAUUUAACAUAAUUUAGAAUUUAAUUUAAUUUAUUGUUAAAAACUCAACUAAUCAAAAUUUUUAUUGAAAAAAAAUAUAUAACUUUUUUAAAUAUAUUACAAAAUCAUCUUAAUUGAAGAAGAGAGAAAAAUAUAAAAGUAAAUUAGAUGGGUUAAAAAUAAAAAUUUUUAUUAAAAAAUUAGAAUAAAAUCCCUUUAAUAAUAAGUUAUUUCUUACGUAAUAAUUAUAUAAAAAGCAAACAUUCAAAAAUAGUUUCUAUUAAUUGUUGAAAUACUUAAAGAUACACAAUAAAAAACCGAAUCAAUUAAAAAAAUAUAUAAAAAAGAAUUAUAAACUCUCAACCAACAAAACACAAUAGUAACCUUCAAAAAAGAAUUAAUACUAAUUAUAAAUAGAAAAUUCUACAUAAUAAACAUUAGUAGGGUUAGUUUUAGCUUGAAAAGCUUUAUAACAGGGUAUUAUUUGUGAAAGUGGCAUAGAAAGUUUUCCCAGCUCCAAGGGACAUGCAAUGGCAACAAAAAAACACAAAUAUAGCGAAAGCGAUGACCAAAAAGAGUGAAAUCCACACGCAUUUUACAAACCAUGCAACGAUGCAAGUAGUUAAACACCUCACUAAUACGUUCUUUUUUCUUCCACAAGGUUGGUAACCAAUAAAUUUUUCCUAUAAAAUUUGACAAUUAUUAUAUCUUAAAAAUAAUUAAAUAAUGUUUUUUUAAAACAAUGUUAUCAAUGUAUACAUAAUUCUCUUUGAAAUCAAUUAAUGAUGUCUUAUUAUUACUAAAAUACUUUAUUUGUUACCAUGUUAAGUAAACUUAAUAAUAGUAGGUCUUUUUUCAUUAAAAAAAAAUUGAUAGUGGUUGAAGAUUUGGCGGAGUAACUAUAAAAGUUAGGCAAAAUAAGUAUGAAUGGUAUUAGGAUAGGGAGAAAUAAGAUAGAACUUAAUUUCUUACCAUUUGUAUACUAUAUUUUUGGGUAUGUGAAACUCAAUCUAAGCAUAUAUUAUUUGUAUACAUAUUGUUAAUGUUAAUUUUAACAAAACUAACAUUAUAGAAAUAGGAAUGCAAAGGAGAUUUUUAGAAAGAUAUACAACAAUUCUGAAUUGCAACACAAUGAUUGCACAUUUCCCUUACAUGGGUAUGGAGAAGAGGGAAUCAAAGAAAACAUGAGUUCUGGAAGCUAGUUUACAAUUAGAAAAAGAUUAGCAAAAUGGAAAGAGAAGUAUUAAUCAUAUGCAUACAUGGUUUGUGUGUUAAAAUCAAUGCUCAAAUCAAUUCCUUUAUUUUAUAUAUCUUUAUUCAAAGUUACUGGCUAGGGUGGGGAGAGAAAUUAGGAGAAUUCAAAUUAAUUUUCUAUAGGGAUACAAGAAGAAGAAUAAGAAACUUUGCCUGAGUCAAAUGAGAGAACAUGUGUAAAGAAAAAAAGGAGAAGGGUUUGGGUAUAAAAGAUUUGAAAUUGUUCAAUGUGGCAUUAUUGGAUAAUGGAAAUGGAUUAGUAAAUGAUGCAAAAGGGAUUGUGGAAACAAAUAAUAUAGUCGAAAUAUGGUUGCUAGGAAAAUCAAAAAAAAUGAAUCAAUGAAUGAGUUUGUUUGGAUAACAUUGAUAUGCAAGCGAUUGUUAUUAAUGAAUGGGAAAAAUGUGAUUAAUGAAUGGGUUUUCCUGUAAAUUGUAUGCAGAUAACAUUGAUAUGUAGGUGAUUGUUAUUAAUGAAUGGAAGAAAAUUGAUGAAUGGAUGGGUUUGUCUGGAAAUUAUUUGCAAUUGUCUGGAUAAUAUUGAUAUGCAAGUGAUUAUUAUUAAUUAACGGGGGGAAAUCGAUCAAUGAAUGAAUUUGUCUGAAUUUUAUAUGCAGAUGAUUAUUAUUAAUGAAUGUUGGAAAAUUGAUAAAACAAUCGUUUUUCUAAAAAAAACAAACUUACUAUGAUGGUUAUUGCAAUAGAUGACAUAAAAAGUCUUAUUUAUUAUGACGGGUGUUAGAAUAUUUGUCAUAGAAAAUUACUUAAUAUGACGGACCGUCAUAGUAAGUCAUAUUUUCUAUGACGAUUGUAGAAAUAUCAGUUAUAGAAAGUUUUUGCUGAACAUAUUAUUACAUAUAUUUUGAACAUUUUAUGACGGUUUAUAGACAAGAGUCAUAGUAAGUCUAUAACUAAGUCAACUUACUAUGUUUGUUAUUCAACCCACAUAAAAAGUGCAGAAUUUUUAUAACUUCUGAUUCUAUAUUACUAUUAAAACUAUGAUAAAAAGAUCUUGUAGAACCAUCAUAAAAAAAUAUUUUGUGCAGUAGUUAUUGAUUAACAUCUUAUCAUUAUUUAUUUUUUCUAAAAGUUCACAUACAUAAUUAAGAUCAUAUAUAAUUCAUAUAUAAAUUAUAAUUCAUCCGUUAAAAUUAAUAACUUUUUUUCUAAAUGUAAGGUAUUUUUAUUUUUUGAAUAAACUAUUUUAAACUAAUAUUUCAUAUACAUUCAAUCCCUGCAUCUUUACACGCUUUUUUGUAAAAUGUUUUGCCUCUAGCAUUAAUAUUCUUUUUAAAUAAAGAUUUUUCAUGACUAAAAGUCAAUCUUCUGAAAAAUAAAGGUUAUCGAAGAGAUUAAUCUUUCUGAAACACUCAAAUUAUAGAAGUAACUUUUAUUUCAUAUUCAUAUAAGUAUUCUUUUAUUAAAAAAAAUAUUAAAUAAAAAUUAAUUUUAAAAAUUAAAAAUAAUUAGUUAUUAUAUUUCAAUAUUAAUUUAAAAACUAAAAAAAAUCAUGCAUCUCUAAAAUAAUUUAUUAAUAAAAAUUAUAAAUUAAUUUUUAUAUUGAUAUCUAAUUAUUUAAGAAUGUUUUAGCUAAAAAAAUUAGAUAAUCAGUUAAAACCUUGAUAUUCAAUUAAAUAUCAAUUUAUAAAUUUUAUUAAUAAUAAAAACUAUUUUAAAUAUCUAUAAUUUAAUAUAUAAAAUAAUAUAUAAUUUAAUUAAUAUAAUAAUUAAUUUUUUUAUCAAUAAAAUUGAUUUUUAUUUAAUAAUUUAUAUAUUUAAUUUAUUUAUUUAUUUACAAUUAUAAUUAAAUGAGUAAUUUACUAGAUUUAUAUUUUAACAUCAUUUUGUUUACUAGAAAGGACUCAAUUUGUUAAUGUGAAGUUUGUCGGAUGGUCUCCACCUACAAUCUUCAAGAAAAAAAAAAAAAAAUAUAUAUAUAUAUAUAUAUAUAUAUAUAUAAAGUUAAACUAAACGACCACGUAACAGUAUUUGAAUUAAAAAACGUAGUUACUUGAGGAAAUUUAACAAUUUUGGUGUGUGUGUUUUGUAUUAUUACAGUGGUGGUGUAAAACAGAGUUUCUGCGACUUUGCACAUUAGAAAGAUGUUGUAAAACGUAAAUAAAGGGUAAUGAAAAGUGUUCUGUGAUCUGGAGAAUGUUGCCUUAUUUUUUGUAAUGAUAUAGUGAUACUAAUUUUUUAUAUAAUCACAUUAUAACUCUCAUUAUUAUUUUAAUAUUUUUAUUAUUAUUUAAUUAUAAAUUUAUCUUUUAUUAUAUAUAUUUAUUUUUAAAUCUCAUAAAAAAAAUUUAUAAAACUUUAAUAUCAUUUUCCUUAUUCCCUACAACCUUCGCUUGCACAGAAUUUAAUAUGCGUCCGCGUUUUUAAACAACUGGUUCUCAAAAAACACAAACCAAACACGGUAUUGCAGCAAAGAAUAAGGUCAAAAGUCAAAAACCAGAAGUUACACACUGAAUCCAGAAACCAAUUUCGCUCUUCUAUCUACGUUCCCAUAACGCAAACCAAUUCUAUAUAUAACCAUCUCAGAACAAACCCAACAACAAAAGAAAGAGAUUUUCAGAGGUUAAUAUAUACAUUACUUCCUUCUUUUUCAUCAUCUUUCACAUCUCUUAAGUUCAAACCUUAAACACAAACAUGGGACUCAGAUCACGUACGCUAGAAAUCACCGUCAUCUCCGGUGAAAACGUCCGCAUAAUGGAGGACGCAUACGUCGUCGUUCGGGCGGAGUCGCUCAACUGCUGCACCACCAGACCGGCCAAAGACGAUGGC